rnacentral:lncRNA from 1 species
UUGCUCUUCAAAGCUUCCUCGGAUCUGAGAGACUCGGAGACAGAGAGAGUGUAGGGAGCACAGGGAAGAUUCAAGAGAUGAGAAGGGGGGAAGGAGUAUGAGAGUUGUGGCCUUGCUGAUCUGCGAAGAUACAUUGACAAUUUCACAUCAAGAUCGAGCCCAUAUCCAGGUGCUUUUGUUCCCUGUGUUAACUCUUUUAGUCUCUUCUUUUUUGCAAAUUGUUUGGUGAGAUGUCUUCUAGAAAAUGUUUAUCUGGUAG